GAACUUCCCUGUGAAACAGAAGAACAGCGAGAAAGUGGAAAAAGAUGGAAAAUAGUACAGUUGUUGUUCUGAUCAACUGUGGCAGUCAGCCCGACUGGCAGCACCUGGCCAGUAAUCCCAGGGUCUUAAAGCUGACUGAAGUUUGCAAUAAAGUGGAACAAGUUUCAGCUGGCAUUCUGAGACAACUAAACACAUGUCAUGACGUUAAUGUAAUUAAUUUAUUUUAGUAAAUAAAUUGUAAAUUAUUGUCCUUCAA